rnacentral:rRNA from 1 species
UAAGGAAUAUUGGUCAAUGGACGCAAGUCUGAACCAGCCAUGCCGCGUGCAGGAAGACUGCCCUAUGGGUUGUAAACUGCUUUUAUACGGGAACAAACCCCUUUACGUGUAGAGGGCUGAGUGUACCGUAGGAAUAAGGAUCGGCUAACUCCGUGCCAGCAGCCGCGGUAAUACGGAGGAUCCGAGCGUUAUCCGGAUUUAUUGGGUUUAAAGGGUGCGUAGGCGGCAUACUAAGUCAGGGGUGAAAUUCGGCAGCUUAACUGUCGGCGUGCCUUUGAUACUGGUGUGCUUGAAUGCGGAUGAGGUAGGCGGAAUGAGACAAGUAGCGGUGAAAUGCAUAGAUAUGUCUCAGAACUCCGAUUGCGAAGGCAGCUUACUAAGUCGUGAUUGACGCUGAUGC